GCGAACGCUGGCGGCAGGCCUAACACAUGCAAGUCGAACGGACCCUUCGGGGUUAGUGGCGGACGGGUGAGUAACACGUGGGAACGUGCCUUUAGGUUCGGAAUAGCUCCUGGAAACGGGUGGUAAUGCCGAAUGUGCCCUUCGGGGGAAAGAUUUAUCGCCUUUAGAGCGGCCCGCGUCUGAUUAGCUAGUUGGUGAGGUAAUGGCUCACCAAGGCGACGAUCAGUAGCUGGUCUGAGAGGAUGACCAGCCACAUUGGGACUGAGACACGGCCCAAACUCCUACGGGAGGCAGCAGUGGGGAAUCUUGCGCAAUGGGCGAAAGCCUGACGCAGCCAUGCCGCGUGAAUGAUGAAGGUCUUAGGAUUGUAAAAUUCUUUCACCGGGGACGAUAAUGACGGUACCCGGAGAAGAAGCCCCGGCUAACUUCGUGCCAGCAGCCGCGGUAAUACGAAGGGGGCUAGCGUUGCUCGGAAUUACUGGGCGUAAAGGGCGCGUAGGCGGACAUUUAAGUCAGGGGUGAAAUCCCAGAGCUCAACUCUGGAACUGCCUUUGAUACUGGGUGUCUUGAGUGUGAGAGAGGUAUGUGGAACUCCGAGUGUAGAGGUGAAAUUCGUAGAUAUUCGGAAGAACACCAGUGGCGAAGGCGACAUACUGGCU
rnacentral:rRNA from 1 species